GUGCUCGCUUCGGCAGCACAUAUACUAAAAUUGGAAUGAUACAGAGAAGAUUAGCAUGGCCCCUGCACAAGGAUGACACGCAAAUUCAUGAAGUGUUCUAUAUUUUU
ensembl:snRNA U6 U6 spliceosomal RNA